AUGAGAGAAGAAGAAGAAGAAAGAGUAGUUCCAUCCCCCAAGAAGCUUCUUUUGCUCAUUCUUGUUUUUUUUUUUUUUUUUUUUUU
rnacentral:ribozyme from 14 species